rnacentral:rRNA from 1 species
GACGAACGCUGGCGGCGUGCUUAACACAUGCAAGUCGAACGGAAAGGCCCUGCUUUUGUGGGGUGCUCGAGUGGCGAACGGGUGAGUAACACGUGAGUAACCUGCCCUUGACUUUGGGAUAACUUCAUGAAACUGGGGCUAAUACCGGAUAGGAGCUCCUGCUGCAUGGUGGGGGUUGGAUAGUUUCGGCGGUUGGGGAUGGACUCGCGUCUUAUCAGCUUGUUGGUGGGGUAGUGGCUUACCAAGGCUUUGACGGGUAGCCGGCCUGAGAGGGUGACCGGCCACAUUGGGACUGAGAUACGGCCCAGCCUCCUCCGGGAGGCAGCAGUGGGGAAUAUUGCACAAUGGGCGGAAGCCUGAUGCAGCACAGCCGCGUGCGGGAUGACGGCAUUCGGGUUGUAAACCGCUUUCGCCUGUGACGAAGCGUGAGUGACGGUAAUGGGUAAAGAAGCACCGGCUAACUACGUG